rnacentral:tRNA from 1 species
GUUAACAUAGUUUAAUAAAAACACUAGGUUGUGGGCCUAGAAAUAGAAGUUCAACCCUUCUUGUAGACC